rnacentral:tRNA from 1 species
UGGGGUGUGGCUCAGCAGCAGAACACUUGCCUCAUGUGCUUGAGGGUCUGGGUUUGAUCCCCAGCACCACAG